ensembl:lncRNA
GUUCAACAUCAAGCACAGGUCCAUUCAGGUCUGAUCGGAUUUCCUUUUCACUGGCAAUAUUUGACUGGCUUUCUACAAGAUGGGUCAACCAUCGAGAUGGGUGUGGGGGGUCCUUCUGUGCCUUACCAUUUCUACAACUCCAGGUUCAUCUGCAGAUUCAUUAGACCCUGCCACAUUUGACACUACAACUCUGGCUUUGGCAAUCGAGAUCACCAAUCAAGUAUUCAAUGCCUCCCUGCAGAAUCAUCAAUCAGAGUACUCCAAGUGGAUGGAUGCAGAAGUGAAAAUGCUGCUUGACGGCGUUUACAAAUGUAACAAUUGCGAUACAAAACCAACCUACGGAGGUGUUGAGUGCAUAACCUACAGAUCCGGACUGAUAGCUACCGCGUCUAUCAUCUUCAACACCGAAUACAUCAACCCAUCUAUUGUCUGUGGAAUCUUUGAACAAAAUAUUGCAACAGCUCAACAACAUACAAAACUCAUUGUGAACAAGGAAUGCACAAUCAACACGACGAUCGAAAUAGAUAAAGAUGCGUGCAAGAAUAUAAGUACAACUACUGAGCCACCUAUAACUCCUGAACCAACGUCAACUCCUGAGCCAACUUCAACUCCUGAGCCAACCUCAACCUCUUCAACUCCUGAGCCAACUUCAACUCCUGAGCCAACCUCAACCUCUUCAACUCCUGAGCCAACUUCAACUCCUGAGCCAACUUCAACUCUGCAACCAACUUCAACUCCUUCAACUCCUGAGCCAACUACAACUCCUGAGCCAACUUCAACUCCUGAGGCAACUACAACUCCUGAGCCAACUUCAACUCCUGAGCCAACUACAACUCCGCAGCCAACUUCAACUCCUUCAACUCCUGAGCCAACUUCAACUCCUUCAACUCCUGAGCCAACUUCAACUCUGCAACCAACUUCAACUCCUACAACUCCUGAGCCAACUACAACUCCUGAGCCAACUUCAACUCUGCAGCCAACUUCAACUCCUUCAACUCCUGAGCCAACUACAACUCUGCAACCAACUUCAACUCCUUCAACUCCUGAGCCAACAACAACCACUGACCAUACAGUGACCCCUGACCUGACAAAUAACCCUGACCCUACAACGACCCCUGACCUUACCAACUCCACUGACCCUACCAAUACCCCUAACCAUACAGCAACCCUUGACCCGGCCAAUGGUGGAGGAAUAUCUGUUUCUCCCAGUGGUGGAGAAAACCGUGACGAUAGAGACUGGGUGCCCGGAUGGGGCAUUGCCGUCCUGGUGUUAGCUGCAGCCAUCCUGUUGCUUCUCAUCAUCCUUUCUAUCCUUUUGUGUGUUCACCAUUGCCGCGAGCGCCCAUCAGAGGACCCCAUGGAGAAGAACACUGACCCAUACUAUGAGCAGAACGAGAUGCCUCCUCAGGAAACUGUGCCAGUACUCUAUCCAUCAUUACCGAUAACAGCGCCCUCAAGUCCAAUGCAGACAAAGAUGGUUGUUGGUGACACACCCAAAAAGAAUCGGACAGGCUUCUAUGCUGUGAAUCCUUGACAUGAAGGCAAAUGAGCAUGUUUUUCGGAUUCAGGCCCACAAAAGAUGACGAAUGAAAGAGAAUAGGAGGCCUUUGACUAUACUGUUUUCCUGCUAAAGCCCCAUGUCCAUGAUAAGCUGGGAAAGAGCCCAGCGUCAGAGCUCUGUUUGUCAAGGAGACCCAUAAACGGAAAUAGCUAGUUCUGGCGGCACACUCUAGUCAUACGCCCCCUAAUCCAAUCAAACGCACCUACACUGACAGGCGGUCAAUUUAGGACCUUGUUUGCUGAGAAUUCACCCACAACCACCCAGCCUCCACCUGCUCUGGUUCUGCUCUGUAUUGUGUGUAACCGACACUACGGGUUAAUAUAUCUGAUGAACCCCAUGGAGGAUUGUAUUGUGCUCCCUGUUGUCAUGUUGGUAUUCUGUACCUGACAUCUAUAUGUGAUGCUUUAAAUCCUACAGCAGGGAGCACCAGAAAAGAGUGGAACCAUACCGCCAAACUAAGAUGCAUCACCAUUUUAUGAAAUAAUUGGUUGAACCUAUAACCAGAGUGAUUAUUGACAGGCCUACUUGUAUUGUGCCAGUCCAGCACUCUGCAAACCGGCUGAAGAAAACAGCAAUAUAUCACUUGACUCUCAAGUUUCUGACUGCAGAAUAAAAAAUGAUUGUCAUUCAUUUUAAACUCAGUGGAAAAUGCUACAUUUAAAGAUAGUUUCAGCAUUAUAUUGCAUUUUUACACAUAGAUCAGUAGUUAUAUCAGUAUAUUAUGUUAGGUUUGUUAGCUAAUGCCAUAUUUUCUGUUGUUGCUAUGGUUGCUACUAUGGACCUGUUCUCCAACCUAAACAAAAUAAUUGGUUGUUUUUCAGUCAGAACCCAAACAGCUAUUUCAAUAAAAACGUGGAUUUGA